CUACGGGGCGCUGCAGUGGGGAAUAUUGCACAAUGGAGGAAACUCUGAUGCAGCAACGCCGCGUGGAGGAUGACGCAUUUCGGUGUGUAAACUCCUUUUAUGAGUCAAGAAAAUGACGGUAGCUCAUGAAUAAGCACCGGCUAACUCCGUGCCAGCAGCCGCGGUAAUACGGAGGGUGCAAGCGUUACUCGGAAUCACUGGGCGUAAAGGACGCGUAGGCGGGCUUGUAAGUCAGGUGUGAAAUCCUACAGCUUAACUGUAGAACUGCACUUGAAACUACGAGCCUAGAGUAUGGGAGGGGCAGAUGGAAUUAGUGGUGUAGGGGUAAAAUCCGUAGAUAUCACUAGGAAUACCGAAAGCGAAGGCGAUCUGCUGGAACAUUACUGACGCUAAGGCGUGAAAGCGUGGGGAGCAAACGGGAUUAGAUACCCCCGUAGUC
rnacentral:rRNA from 1 species